CACGUAGGCACCAAGCGUUGUCCGGAUUUAUUGGGCGUAAAGAGCUCGUAGGCGGUUCGGUAAGUCGGGUGUGAAAACUUUGGGCUCAACCCAAAGCCUGCACCCGAUACUGCUGUGACUCGAGUCCGGUAGGGGAGUGGGGAAUUCCUGGUGUGAGCGGUGGAAUGCGCAGAUAUCAGGAGGAACACCGGUGGCGAAGGCGCCACUCUGGGCCGGUACUGACGCUGAGGAGCGAAAGCGUGGGGAGCGAACAGG
rnacentral:rRNA from 1 species